rnacentral:misc_RNA from 1 species
UCUCACCAUAUUUUGAUCAUAAUAUUUUGAUCAUAUUAUGUUGAUCAUUAUGACAAUAACCCUCUGAUAUUCAGCAGAUUUGUGUUAUUUAUCAUGAACAGUUAAUAGACGAAGUUUUAAUUAAAUUCAACAGGUAUAUCUUGAGUUGUCCAGCGGGCUGUUUUUGUUCCAUGAUUUUGGCAAACUGUUCCCGGUCCCGACAUUAAAUGAACACAGCGCCACCAACAGUUCAUUGUAAGAACUAGUCGGGUGUCAUAUAUACGUGUUUCUUAGCACAUCCGGUAACAACGAUAGCGAAGGUGGGUACCAAACGUACUCCUACGAUACGUAAUUCAUCAAUCAAGAUGGCUUCGAUGUUGGUGAAAAAUUUCAGAAGUUUGACGUGUUUAUCGCGUCAAAUACUGCCUUGUUCUAGAUUUGUGGUGCCUCUACAGAAGCAGAUACUCAAAAGGAGACAAGGGACGUAUGUUGCUAUCGAUGACAACAUAUCCGGACUGAAUGAACAUGAGAGACAGCUCCGAGAAUCAGUUUUCCGGUUUGUCCAAGACGAGCUCGCUCCAAAAGCAGCUGAGAUUGAUGCCAAAAAUGUGUUUGAAGGACAAAAGGAAUUCUGGCGGAAACUGGGUGAUAUGGGCCUCCUGGGCUUGACUGUUCCUGAGGAGUAUGGAGGCACCGGGGGAAGCUACCUGGACCAUUCCAUCGUUAUGGAGGAAAUGUCGAGAGGGUCGGCAGCCGUUGCGUUAAGCUACGGCGCCCACUCAAACCUCUGCGUCAAUCAGCUCGUCCGCAACGGCAACGAGGAACAGAAGCAGAAAUACUUGCCCAAGCUGAUUAGCGGUGAGCAUAUCGGGGCCUUAGCCAUGAGUGAAGCCAACAGUGGAUCCGAUGUCGUCUCCAUGAAGCUCAAAGCAGAACACAAAGGAGACCAUUACUUAUUGAACGGUACAAAGUUUUGGAUCACCAACGGUCCUGAUGCUGACGUGCUCAUUGUCUACGCGAAGACGGACUUAUCGGCUGAAGCCAAGCACGGAAUUACGACAUUCAUCAUAGAAAAGGACUUUGAGGGAUUCAGCACGUCCCCUAAGCUGGACAAGCUGGGUAUGCGGGGAUCCAACACUAGUGAGCUGGUUUUCGACAACUGCAAAGUACCAGUUGAGAAUGUGAUGGGCCCACUAAACAAGGGAGUGUAUGUUCUGAUGAGCGGCCUCGAUCUGGAGCGGUUGAUACUAUCGGGAGGCCCAGUUGGUCUGAUGCAAGCGUGUAUGGACGUCACAGUUCCUUACUUAAUGACAAGGACGGCCUUUGGAAAGCCCAUCGGAGAAUUCCAGCUGAUGCAAGCCAAGAUGGCGGACAUGUACACGCGGCUCAACGUCUGCCGGUCCUAUCUCUACAACGUGGCCAGGGCGGCCGACAAGGGUUUUGUGAGCGCCAAAGACUGCGCAGCGGUAAUCUUGUACACGGCGGAGAACGCCACACAGAUGGCAUUGGAUGCCAUUCAGUGCCUUGGUGGAAAUGGUUACAUCAAUGACUACCCUACAGGACGAUUGUUGAGAGAUGCCAAGCUGUAUGAGAUAGGGGCAGGAACAAGCGAAAUAAGGAGACUUAUCAUUGGUCGAGCCCUGAAUGCAGAAUAUAAAUAAGCAUAUGAAUAUUCAUUACUUGAGGGUAUGUUCAAUUGUGCAUGGUGAGAUGAGGGUUAUCAUUGGCUGAGCCCUGAAUAUAAAUAAGCCUUUGAAUAUUCAUAGCUUGUAGGUAUGUUAAAAUGUGAAUGGUGAGAUAAUUGGGCUUAUCAUUAGCCCAGCCCUCGAUGCAGAAUAUAAAUAAGCCUAUGAACAUGAUGAAUAUUCAUAGCUUGAAGGUUUGCUAAGUUGUGAAAAUUGAAAUAAGGGAGGCUUAUUAUUGGCCCAGCCUUCAGUGCAGAAUGUAAAUAAGCAUAUGAAUAUUCAUAGCUUGAAGGUAUGUUAAAUUGUGAAUAGUGAGAUAAGGAGGCUUAUCAUUGGCCCAGCCCUGAAUGCAGGAUAUAAAUUGCCUAUACAUAUUAAUGUCUUGAAUGUACAUGUAUGUUAAAUGGUGAAAAGUGAGAUAAGGGAGGCUUAUCAUUGGUCCAGCCUUAGGUGCAGAAUGUAAAUAAGCCUAUGAAUAUUCAUAGCUUGAAGGUAUGUUAAAUUGUGAAUAGUGAGAUAAGGAGGCUUAUCAUUGGCCCAGCCCUCGAUGCAGCAUAUCAAUAAGCCUACGAAUAUUCAUAGCUUGAAGGUAUGUAUGUUAAAUGGUGGUUGGCAAGUUGAAGGUUGGCUUAUUGGCCCGGCCCUCAAUGCAAAGUAUGAAUAUUCACAGUUAAAGGUAUUCUUAAUCUGAUUUGCAAGAUAAGGUGGCUUAUCUUUGGCUGAGCACUCAAUGCAAAGUAUUACUAAGCUAUGAAUAUUCAAAGUUGAGUGCUGAGCCAUAUGCAAAUUGGAGAUAUGACUGAGUGCCUCAUGUUUAUUCAUGACUUGUGCUUCCCAUUCUCCCCUAAAUCAAUAUCAUUAGAUAUGGUGGUGUUACAUGUAUAUAUUAAUCGUUUUGUAGAAAACACCCUCUUACUUUGCGACAGCAUGACUAUGCAUAUGCAUGAGAAUAUAAAAUGGUGGUUGUGCUAUGAACACGUUCGACGGUGGACAAAGGAAUCAUGUGCUGCCUGUAGUAUGUAGUUUUUUGGGCAAGGAGUUUUAACUGCUCAGACUUUGGAUGUCAGUGCAGAUAUGUUUGAAUGUUGAUGUGUAGACAGUUUUCUUUUUAAAUAUUAUUUUAAUUUCAUAUUGUUGUGGUUUCAUCAGUGAGUGUUUCUCAGGGAAAUGUUUUGUGGUUUCCGGUCAAAAAGUGUUUCUAAUUGUUCUGCCAUCUUUAAAUUUGGGGGGUUCCGAUUUACUUGUUCACUAUUUGCUGAGACUUGGUUUGCAACAACCACGAAAGAAAACAGGACUAGGCACAUCUAGAAAAGAUCAAGUCAGGUCAGGUCAGUCAGGUUGGGUCAGGUCAAUCAGGUUGGGUCAGGUCAAUCCGGUCAGUUCGGGUUGGGUCUCUUUGACAUUCGGUGAGGUCAGGUCAGGUCAGGUCAUUCAGGUCGCAUCAGGUCAGGUCAGGUCAUUCAGGUUUGGUCAGGUCGGGUUUAUUCAAGUCUUGAUUUUAAGAGACAGUCAGGUCAGGUCAAGUCAGGUUAGUCAGGUCGGGUCGGGUCGAGUCCGGCUUAUUCUAGUCUACAUCCCAAGAGACAGUCCGGUCCGGUCGGUCGGUCGGUCGGUCGGUCAGUGCGUGCGUGUGUGCUAAAUAAGUGCUAAGAGCACACUAGGUUGCCCUCUGGGACCAGCACAAAUGUAGUCUUGCAAGAUACACGUAAGGCCACGAGACGCUUUAAAAGAUCACUGACAGUAAGAAAUGAUAUAUAGAGACAACACAACACUGCAGGUGCACGCUUACACUCUAUCUAAAGUGCUUUUAUUGAAUGAAUACAUGUUUAAAUUUAACACAGAAAAGAGACGUGAAAAAAAAGGCUUGUGUCGUGAUAUGCCAAACUUUCUCCAUCAUGUCUCUGACUAAAUAUUCAAUUAAUUUCAUUGGCUUUAAGGUAAUGGUCACCAUUUGCUGAAAAAGCUAUAUUUGCCUUUUCAAGAAACAAUAAAUAAUAAAUCUGAAGCAGGUUAUUAAUACAAAACUCAGUAAGACAAUGUCGAAAUUGUGUACAGUAGAUGUCAUACUUUUGAGAAAACUGUAACAAUGCAUCUUUAUUUUUUUCUCACGCAAAGCAUGUUUUUGUUGGCUGUUUGAAGGUUUGAUCCAUAACCAUCGCGAUGAAUUGAUGGUUAUUCUUUUUGCCUGGAAAAAGACAGAAUACUGGGUGGAAAUUAUUUCACAGGAUGCUUUAUAUCCUUUUAUUUUCUAAAAUUUAAGAAGGAUAAUUCAUUAUAUUUUGAUAGUUUUAUGUUUGAGUGUUUGCAAAUGGUGUCGAUUACCUUAAACCACUUCAAAAGUUAAAGGAAAGGGGAAAAAAGAAAGGGAAAAAAACCCAAAACAAUUUGCUAAGGAAUAUUUCCAGUUACAAUUGGUUUGUAUCUAUUUCCACCAGUUACUGAGAUUCAUGCUUAACCAUGUGGGAAAGGACAAUUAAUAAAGAGUAAUAAUCUAUAUAUAAUAAUGCUGCUUAUUUCUAAUAAAAAAAUAGUGUAUACCAGAUUUGCUAAGAUAAUUAAGUAAGGUAUAUUGGAUAUUUGAAAAGUUUCAUGCAAUAUUUUUUGGAAUUUUAUAUAGUGUUGUAGAACAAAAUUGUCGGCAGUGCAUACUGAAUAAUAUUCAUUCCAUGGGUUUACGAAGUGAUUUUGAGUGGGUAAACUCUUUUGUAGUGACUCAAAUUUACCCACUUCAAAUAGCGCCCUCUUAUUGUGUCC